UACGUAGGGAGCAAGCGUUGUCCGGAAUCAUUGGGCGUAAAGCGCGCGUAGGCUGCCAGAUAAGUCCGGUGUGAAAGUCAAAGGCUCAACCUUUGAAUGCCGCUGGAAACUGUCUGGCUAGAGUCCGGAAGGGGCGAGUGGAACUCCUGGUGUAGCGGUGAAAUGCGCAGAUAUCAGGAAGAACACCAAUGGCGAAGGCAGCUCGCUAGGACGGUACUGACGCUGAGGCGCGAAAGCGUGGGGAGCAAACAGG
rnacentral:rRNA from 1 species